ACAGGUUAGGACAAAAGUAUAUAAAGUGUAUAUAAGUGUAAAUAAGCAUAAAUUGGAGUAAAUCUUGACCGUUUCACAUUGUUGCUUUUUAUUGCAGCUGAUUACCGUUUAUUAAGGUUUUUCAAAUGAGAAAUUGUCAAAGUUUUACAUACUUUGCCAGGAAAUUUCAAAUUUCAUAUUCCAGAAAGUUCAUAUUUCUGAAAUACAAUCCCUGUUGAAAUAAGGGAUUUCUCUGCUUGCUUUUAGGAAGACCCUCAAGAUGUACCUGUUUUCCCAGACUUUUAACUGAAAUUUAAGUUUUAAUGUUUUUAUUUACUGAGAUUGUUUUUAUCUGUUUUAUUAAUUUUAAUUGUUUUAUAUUGUUUUUACAUUUAUGUUUUAACUUUGUACGCUGCCUAAAGAUGUCUAUAUCAGGUGGUAUAGAAAUAUGAUGGAUGGAUGGAUAAGGUUAUCGAUCCCACACAUUUGUGGCCAAGAGGAGGUGGGGGUGCCCUGCCUCCUGCUUCCUAUUGAGUCAUUCACUGGGUCCAGAUAGAUUAAGCCAAAAUUGCAUUAACAUCAGAGAAUCACCGUGUCUGGUGCAACUGCCUGCCGUCCUUACCUCCUCCUCCGGGGACGGAUAACUGAGUCCUUGGCAGAGGCCUGCCAAGGCCUUGGCAGUGGGCGGCGACCAGGAAGGAGAAGCAGGGGCUAUGCAGACCAGCAGAAUCCAAGCCCUAACAGCCAAGGGCAGGCCGUACAAGCAGAGGCCACGGUGCCAUUACGGGCGGAGCAGGUCCAAGGGAGAGCUGCUGAGGAGGUGCAUCGUGAUGAUGUCAGCAGUGUGCCUCCAGAGGGGAGGGGGCUCAAGAGCCUUUGCAACAGAGGAGGAUAACAUUGACUAUGAACAAAGUGAUGGAGGAAGAGAUAGCACAGGAAAAGUUGGCAAGCUUUUCCAAAUGGAGGACCCUGAAGACGUACCUAUUUUCCCAGGCCUCCAACUGAUACCAAUUUUUUAAAUUUUAAUGUGUUUUUAUCUAUUAUGAUUUUUUUCUCUUUAUGAACUUUACAUAUUUUAUAUUUUAUAUUAUGUUUUAAUUCUGUACACCACCUAGAGAUUCCGAUAUUGGGUGGUACAUAAAUUCAAUCAACCAACCAACCAACCAGUCAAUCAAUCAAUAGAAAAGGGCCCAUCAGUGAGGCCAUCUGGACCCCGGGGUCAACCAUUAUAGGGUGGGUCCAUCGGCUGGGCGACAGCUCACUCUCUGCUCUCUGCCUCCUGGCUCACUGACCCACUGCUGGCUCCUGAUUACAGGAUUAAUCUUGACUUUAAACCAAGGUAUAUGAGUUUGUUUGUUUUUAAGUUUCUGAGCCAGAGAAAUGUACGUCAGCAAAUGUGUGUGAAAGUGUCUGCAAUGCAUGCAUGGUGAGUGUCUGAUAUUUUUUGCACAGGAGUGAAAGGAUGUUCCAAGCACACGUAUUCUUUUUCACCCCAGCCCAAUGUUGCCUCAGAAUCCAUCUGCUCCUUGGGGAUUAGGUUUGCUCAUCUCAUCUCAUUACCAGUUAUUAUCAUUAUCCAUUAGCUGAAAUUGGUUACAUAGGAAACUGCCUUAUACUGUCCAUCUAGCUCAGUAUAACACUGACCGGCAGUAGCCCUGCAUGGUUUCAGAUGUUCUCAGCCCUGCCUGGAGGUGCCAGGGAUUGAACUUGAGACCUUCGGCAUGCAAAGCAGAUGUUCUGCCAGCAAGCUACAGUCCAGCCCCACCCACCCCAUUCACACAUUAUAUUCAAAGCAUGUACAAUCUGUGUACAGAUAGAUAGAUAUGCACAUAUAAUACAGUUAUUCUCACGUUCUUCACAUGUACAGCCGUUCACUUCCUUUCUGUACCCUGCAUUGAGAGGGUCUGUACCCAGCUUCAUUUUUAAAAUGAACAGUCAUUUAGGAAAAAACACGCACAUGUGUACAGAUACCUGAACACAUUACAACCUGUCUGAAGAGGGCUAUGUUUAACUGAAAUAAUUGCAUACUUUCCCCAACCCCGCUCCAUUUCCCCCUGCCUCUUUCUCUUUUCCCCCUCUGUUUGACUUAUGUCAAUAUCAGUCAGUUAGUCAAUUUAUUACCUGAUUAGUUACAUAUAUCUAGAUUGUAAGCUCCUCAGGGCAGGGACCUGUCUUUUAUUUCUUUGUAAAGCACCAUUUGCAUUGAUGGCUAAACUAACUAAGAGUUCUUCAAUUGGGUUACAGCCCCAAUUCUCUCGUUUUGACUGACAUCGUGUUGCAUAGCAAAAGAGGAAGAAUUGUUUGCUGUGUUGAAAUAUCUGGGGGGUGAGGCUGUCACUUGAUAAAGAAGAGGGCCUGCUGGGAAUGGGGCUUCCAGGAAGGUGAUCAUGAGUUAAAUCUGAAACAGAUCAGCCAUAAAUAUAGAGGCCCUGCUCCUGGGCAGCCUAAUUAGCCAGGUCUCUUGC